rnacentral:rRNA from 1 species
GACGAACGCUGGCGGCGUGCUUAACACAUGCAAGUCGAACGGACAGGCCCUGCUUGCGGGGUACUCGAGUGGCCAACGGGUGAGUAACACAUGGGUGAUUUGCCCUGCACUUCGGGUUAAGCCUGGGCAACUGGGUCUAACACCGGCCAGGAGCUAUUUUUAGUGUGAUGGUUGGAAAGUUUUUUCGGUGUUGGAUGGGUGCGAGGCCUAUCAGCUUGUUGGUUGGGUAAUGUCCUACCAAGGCGGCGACGGGUAGCCGGCCUGCGUGGGUGGACGGCCACAAUGGGACUGAGAGACGGCCCAGACUCCUACGGGAGGCAGCGGGGGGGAGUAUGGCACAGUGGGGGCAAGCCUGAGGCGGCGGCGCCGGGUGCGGGAUGACGGCCUUCGGGUUGUAAACUCCUUUCGCUGGAGACGAAGCUUUUGUGACGGUACCUAGAUAAGAAGCACCGGCUAACUACGUG